GACAGAGGGUGCGAACGUUGCUCGGAAUUACUGGGCGUAAAGAGCGUGUAGGCGGUUCGGUAGGUCCGUUGUGAAAACUCGAGGCUCAACCUCGAGACGCCGAUGGAAACCCCCGAACUAGAGUCCGGAAGAGGAGAGUGGAAUUCCCGGUGUAGCGGUGAAAUGCGCAGAUAUCGGGAAGAACACCCGUGGCUAAGGCGGCUCUCUAGUACGGUACUGACGCUGAGACGCGAAAGCGUGGGGAGCGAACAGG
rnacentral:rRNA from 1 species